CAGUUUUGAACCCAAAAAAAUCACCAAAUAAGACGGCAAAACAUGUUGAUGAAAUCCUGUAAUUCAAGGAAAAGCCAAUAGAAAUUUUACAAGAGAUGUGAGAAAGAUUCAAGGGGAUAUAUGCUAAUAAAGUGUCUACAUCAUAGUAUCCUAGAGUAGAUGUUGGAGCAGAGGUAUUACAUGAGACUCGCUGAUAGUUGAAAGGCUAAUGUCGAUGUUUC
rnacentral:lncRNA from 1 species